GUCUCUGCUGCUUCUGGUUCUCAGUUCUCAAACAUCUUAACUGAACCAUCAGGGCCUUAGGGAAGCCUGUUCAGCAUUCUUCAUCUCCAAAUGUAGUACAUCCAUCCGAUAAGCCUUUCCUUAAGAGUGAUCUACGACACUCCCCAAAUAAGCCUACACUUGCCUAUCCAGAAAGCAACAGCAGAGCUAUAUUUUGUGCUCUUAAGAAUCUUAAAGGUAAGAUUUGAUGCUUGGAACUUGAAAUGAUUCUGGCAGAAGAAAGUGUGAAAACCUUGUCUAGAGAAACAAUUGAAUCCAAGAAGGUACUGGAUGGAGAGAUAUGGGAAAGGGAGAAUUCAAAGAAUGAAGAAUCAAAGCACAAUCAAGAACUGAUAUCUCAGUUGAUAGCUGCAGAAAAUAAAUGUAAUCUUUUAGGAAAACAAUUGGAAUACAUGUGAAAUAUGAUAAAGCAUGCAGAAAGGGAGAGGACAUCUGUCUUAGAGAAACAGGUUUCCCUAGAAAGAGAAUGGCGAUACAAUCAAAGACAUGUUUGGAGCCAACUUGAAAAAUUGGAUCUUUAUGAAUGGGAGUAUAACUUUCCACAGUGCAGGCCCUUGCAGAAAGAAAAAUGUAAGAGUUGGUAGCAAAACUCUGAAGAAGAACAGGAAAGGAAACAUGUACAAACUAAGGCAGCUAAGUUACAGACUGGUCUAGAAACAAAUAGACUUAUUAUUGAAGAUAAGGCAAGUCCGCAUUUUCCCAGUGCAAGAAGAAUUUUAAAAAAAGUCAAAACCACAAGAAAAACUAAGUUCUAGGAACUAUUUUGGUGCACGAGUACAUUAUAGAUUAUGCUUGGGUGAUGUGCCAUUUGUAGCUGGGAAGUCCACAAGUCUUAGCCAUGCUGUGGCAGCCAAUGUUCAGCUUGUCUUGCAUUGCAUCUAAUGAAGCAACACAGUAAAGCUUUGUGCAGUGAUCAGUCAUUAGUGUUCCUUUGGCAAAGCAAGUAUCUUCAAGAUGUGUUGAAAGUAAGAAGUUGUCAUUAAUACCUCCCUCCUCUGACAGCAUUAAUGAGGAAUUGUCAGAAGUCUUACAGACUUUACAGGAUGAAUGGACAUAGGACCUUUAAUCACCAGCAGCAUGCAAAACUUACCCAGGAGUUGGCAACUGUUGAACUGAAAGACAACUUAGUGUGAGAAUCGGAGGCAUUAGUGGGAAGGAUGGAGGCAAAAGCCAACCAAAUAACUAAAGUUUGAAAAUACCAAGCCCAGCUGGAGAAACAGAAGGUAGAGAAGCAGAAGAAGGAAUUAAAAGCUACCAAAAAGACUCUGGAUGAAGAAGGAAAGAGCAACAGCCAUUCU
rnacentral:lncRNA from 1 species